rnacentral:rRNA from 1 species
CCUACGGGAGGCUGCAGUGAGGAAUAUUGGUCAAUGGACGAGAGUCUGAACCAGCCAAGUAGCGUGAAGGAUGACUGCCCUAUGGGUUGUAAACUUCUUUUAUAUGGGAGUAAAAUGUUCCACGUGUGGGAUUUUGUAUGUACCAUAUGAAUAAGGAUCGGCUAACUCCGUGCCAGCAGCCGCGGUAAUACGGAGGGUCCGAGCGUUAUCCGGAUUUAUUGGGUUUAAAGGGAGCGUAGGUGGAUUGUUAAGUCAGUUGUGAAAGUCUGCGGCUCAACCGUAAAAUUGCAGUUGAAACUGGCAGUCUUGAGUACAGUAGAGGUGGGUGGAAUUCGUUGUGUAGCGGUGAAAUGCUUAGAUAUCACGAAGAACUCCGAUUGCGAAGGCGGCUUACUGGACCGUAACUGACGUUGAGGCUCGAAAGCGUGGGGAGCAAACAGGAUUAGAUACCCGAGUAGUC